GACGAACGCUGGCGGCGUGCCUAAUACAUGCAAGUAGAACGCUGAAGGAGGAGCUUGCUCUUCUGGAUGAGUUGCGAACGGGUGAGUAACGCGUAGGUAACCUGCCUGGUAGCGGGGGAUAACUAUUGGAAACGAUAGCUAAUACCGCAUAAGAGUAGAUGUUGCAUGACAUUUACUUAAAAGGUGCAAUUGCAUCACUACCAGAUGGACCUGCGUUGUAUUAGCUAGUUGGUGGGGUAACGGCUUACCAAGGCGACGAUACAUAGCCGACCUGAGAGGGGGAUCGGCCACACUGGGACUGAGACACGGCCCAGACUCCUACGGGAGGCAGCAGUAGGGAAUCUUCGGCAAUGGACGGAAGUCUGACCGAGCAACGCCGCGUGAGUGAAGAAGGUUUUCGGAUCGUAAAGCUCGGUUGUAAGAGAAGAACGAGUGUGAGAGUGGGAAGUUCACACUGUGACGGUAUCUUACCAGAAAGGGACGGCUAACUACGUG
rnacentral:rRNA from 1 species